rnacentral:rRNA from 1 species
GAGUUUGAUCAUGGCUCAGAGCGAACGCUGGCGGCAGGCUUAACACAUGCAAGUCGAGCGGGCCCUUCGGGGUCAGCGGCGGACGGGUGAGUAACGCGUGGGAACGUGCCUUCUGGUUCGGAAUAACCCUGGGAAACUAGGGCUAAUACCGGAUACGCCCUUUUGGGGAAAGGUUUACUGCCGGAAGAUCGGCCCGCGUCUGAUUAGCUAGUUGGUGGGGUAAUGGCCUACCAAGGCGACGAUCAGUAGCUGGUCUGAGAGGAUGAUCAGCCACACUGGGACUGAGACACGGCCCAGACUCCUACGGGAGGCAGCAGUGGGGAAUAUUGGACAAUGGGCGCAAGCCUGAUCCAGCCAUGCCGCGUGAGUGAUGAAGGCCUUAGGGUUGUAAAGCUCUUUUAUCCGGGACGAUAAUGACGGUACCGGAGGAAUAAGCCCCGGCUAACUUCGUGCCAGCAGCCGCCGUAAC